UAGGGAAUCUUCCGCAAUGGGCGAAAGCUUGACGGAGCAACGCCGCGUGAGUGAUGAAGGUCUUCGGAUCGUAAAACUCUGUUAUUAGGGAAGAACAAAUGUGUAAGUAACUAUGCACGUCUUGACGGUACCUAAUCAGAAAGCCACGGCUAACUACGUGCCAGCAGCCGCGGUAAUACGUAGGUGGCAAGCGUUAUCCGGAAUUAUUGGGCGUAAAGCGCGCGUAGGCGGUUUUUUAAGUCUGAUGUGAAAGCCCACGGCUCAACCGUGGAGGGUCAUUGGAAACUGGAGAACUUGAGUGCAGAAGAGGAAAGUGGAAUUCCAUGUGUAGCGGUGAAAUGCGCAGAGAUAUGGAGGAACACCAGUGGCGAAGGCGACUUUCUGGUCUGUAACUGACGCUGAUGUGCGAAAGCGUGGGGAUCAAACAGG
rnacentral:rRNA from 1 species